rnacentral:lncRNA from 1 species
UAGUCUCGAUCACCCAGACGCAUUAUGAAUAUAGCGUCUGGAUUUUUGUGACUUUGGAUUUCGUUCAUAGAUGGCGUUUUAAAAUUUGGUAAUGACCUUGACCACAUCUUCCCGGAAGAUAAACACUUCAAGAAUAUGGAUGAAAACAUGCGGCAGUGGUAGACCAGAGUUGAGAGUUUCAGUGUAAAAUGAAACUUUUAAACAGCAUGGAAACUGGAAGAAACUAGACAAUUAACUUAUUAAGGUUCAUGUGUACGAAUGUUUCUUUUAAUAGGGUAGGUAAAAGGUAGGUUUUUUUACUAGAAAAAAGGGGGGGGGACUCUCAUAGAGGUGUACAGUAGGUUGUAAUCAUGGAUUAGUUUGCAAAAUCCUUGUAACAACUAGUAUCAUAAAAUAAGAUGUUUAGAUAUUAUGUAGUUUUAAAUAUUUUACCUUAUGCAUCGAUCACUGAAAUCUGAGACUACUAUAACUGUAUAAGUGUGUCUCAUUGGGGUCUAAGCAGUACAUAGGAUUGCCAUUUUUUGUAAGCGUGACUCGUGAAAGUCAAAUUAUUGUGACGUGAAAACCAGAAAUGAAGUACAUAGUGUAAGCGGGAUAUGGGAAUGUGACAAAUCAGUAAGUGGGAUCCGUGAUCAGAACCCCCCCAAUGAGACCCCCUAUAACACAGUAGUCUCAGCUGAAAUGCGCAUUUGCCAUGAUUUGCCAUUUGGUAAAUAGAAUAGAAAGGAAUAGAAUACUUUAAUUCACCAAAUUAUGGCCCAGGAGGGCAUAUAGCAUACAAACAAUAUUAUUAUAAACAAUAACAUAUGCAGUACACAAACAAUAAAUAUGUAACAUGUGUAAUAAAAAUAUAUAAAUACUACAGGAAACAUGGGUAAUACACCCAACAAAAUAGCAAUAUAUAAUAAUUUAAUUAGUACUGUGUUGACAUUGACCCUAGAGCACCAGGUUAGUGUAUUUUCACUAUAAAAAUUCAAACAAGAGGCAUGAGAAGUUUAUGUGGAAAAAUCUCAAUAUAAAAAAAAAAAAAGGAUAUUUAAUAUGACUAAUCUGCAGUAAGCACCAAGAAUUGAUACUUAAAAGGAAGUCCCUUCUUGUACUUAAUGCAGAUGAGUCAAACUUCUUAAAUAUAUAAAAUAUAUAUUUUAAACACAUAUUUUUAAGAUUAUAGAUACUGUGUCCAGUCAGCAAAGAUCUUCAAGGGACGGUGCAAGAGAAUAUGAAAUUCUUAGAAUAAGACAAGUUAUCCUCAUGCUAUAUAUGAGGAGGGGCAAAAGGGGGUCUGUUAACAUGUUAACAACACCUUGAUAUUUUGGCAAAAACAGUUAACAAAAAAUGCAAAAAUACUGAUAACAGUUACGUAACAUAAUGAUUUCCCCCCCCCCCCCUAUAUGGAUUAUGCCAAUUAGAAUGCAUAGUGGUCCUAAAUUCCAUUUGAAAAAAACAUGCCUAAGGAAGACUUUAUACAUGUAUGAUGUAUAUACAAAAACAUUUGACGAAAAAUUAUAAACAACAGAGUGAAGAGGGUGGUAUUCAUGGUAACUUUAUGAAACUAACAAUUAAACAAAUACAGGUUUACCGUUGUAACAAUUGUUGAUUGCCAUAAAAGGCUGAUUAAUUAGUAUUGAGAAUGAAAUAAAAAAAAUAUGUCCAAC